AGCUCCAAUAGCGUAUAUUAAAGUUGUUGCAGUUAAAAAGCUCGUAGUUGAACUUCAGGCUGUUCGCAGUUAGGCUUAUACCUGAUUGAGAGCAGUCUUCCGUCUGCGAACUGCAUUCGGCCUUCACUGGUCGGUGUAGGGAGUAGGCAUUUUACUGUGAAAAAAUUAGAGUGUUUCAGGCAGGUCUUUGCCCGGAUACAUUAGCAUGGAAUAAUGGAAUAGGAUUCAAGUCCAUUUGAUUGGUUAUUGGAUUUGAAUAAUGAUUAAUAGGGACAGUUGGGGGCAUUAGUAUUUAAUAGUCAGAGGUGAAAUUCUUGGAUUUAUUAAAGACUAACUUAUGCGAAAGCAUUUGCCAAGGAUGUUUUCA
rnacentral:rRNA from 1 species